GAUGAACGCUGGCGGCGUGCCUAAUACAUGCAAGUCGAACGAACGGACGCGAACUUUGCGGCUCUCAUGUUAGCCGCAGACGGGUGAAUAACGCGGGUGUAACCUACCUCUCUUACUGGUAUAACUGCGGGACACCGGCUCUAAUACCAUAGGAUGUUUUUAACCGCGUGAUUCAAGAAUGAUAUACGGGCGUGCGGUCACUUAUCGAUCUAUCCGCGCUGCAUUAGCUGGUUGGUAAGGUAACGGCUUACCAAGGCAACGAUGCGUAGCCGACCGGGGCGGGUGGUAGGCGACCCGGGAAGUGGGACAGGGUCAAGACUACUACGGGAGGCAGCAGUCGGGAAUGUGCGGCAAUGGGCGAAAGCAUGACGGAGCAAGGCCGAGCGAGAGAUGAAGGCCUUGGGAUCGGAAAGCUGGGUUACUAGGGAAGAACAUAUGUGUAAGUAAAUGUGCAGAUAUUGACGGUACCUAAUCAGAAAGCAACGGCUAACUACGUG
rnacentral:rRNA from 1 species